rnacentral:rRNA from 1 species
AACGAACGCUGGCGGCAUGCCUAACACAUGCAAGUCGAACGAGACCUUCGGGUCUAGUGGCGCACGGGUGCGUAACGCGUGGGAACCUGCCCUUAGGUUCGGAAUAACUCCCCGAAAGGGGUGCUAAUACCGGAUAAUGUCCUCGGACCAAAGAUUUAUCGCCUUUGGAUGGGCCCGCGUUGGAUUAGCUAGUUGGUAGGGUAAAAGCCUACCAAGGCGACGAUCCAUAGCUGGUCUGAGAGGAUGAUCAGCCACACUGGGACUGAGACACGGCCCAGACUCCUACGGGAGGCAGCAGUGGGGAAUAUUGGACAAUGGGCGAAAGCCUGAUCCAGCAAUGCCGGGUGAGUGAUGAAGGCCUUAGGGUUGUAAAGCUCUUUUACCCGGGAUGAUAAUGACAGUACCGGGAGAAUAAGCACCGGCUAACUCCGUG